GAGCAGGACGAUAGAUGGAGGUUGCCACAGCGCCACCUCUAGGACUGGAGGAGCAGGGGGCGUUGUGUCCCGCUGUCCUUCGGCCUGGACUGCAAGGGUAAAGCCCAGUCCCUUCAAUAAAGAUGAAGCAGCUCAGUGGGUGGAGCCCAGCCUCUGCGGGUGGUAUUAUGAAAUAUAUGGCAUGCACAUCGUAUUACCUUUUGGAAUCCAACAAGCUGUGAGUUCCAAAACGCAUGUGGCCCCAAGGAUUUCAGAUAAGGGAUUAUGGACCUGUGCCACUCUCGUUUAUAGGCAACAGUGACUACAGCUGAGAGAAGAAGAUACAGAAGAAAGUUGCCCUCCAGGACGAAGGCUAAGCUCUCAAUUCUAGGGGACAAUUCUGGCCCCCGGCCAGCCCAGCACUUCUGUCACGUCUUGCCUGGCGCAUCUGUCUGGCUGUGAAAUGGUUUUCUGCACCUCAUGCUGCCCCCAAGACAGCAGUGGAGGUUUGCCACACCCAUCUCCAUGCUCACCCACGUCCAUGCUACCCUGGGGACCAGGCAUUUUAAAACUCAGAAGCCAAGGCUAACCUUUAGAUGGCGUUACCCAACUCUGGCUACCCCAAGAAGAGAUUCUGUGGGGCCUCUUGCAAAGGACUUCAUUAAACACUUUCAUUUCUGGGCAGAGCUGACUCAUCAUUUACCCCCAGAUAAGUACGCUCUCUGGGCCGUUUCCAGGCCCCCAUCCCUCCCGUUGGCCAUUUCUCCAGACCAGAUGGCUCCUAUUAGACCUCAAUUUGCAACUUGCCACCCUUUGUGGGCGCAUGUUCUGGCUCUGUCCCAACCUGAGCAGCUGAUUCAGAUGUUCUGGGAAGUCCUCACUGUUCGAUUCCACCUCAGCACAUCAGCUUCGAAGCUGCGGGUCAGAUGUCCAGUUUUUGUGGGGAACCUGGGAGACUGAAGUCACACCUCAGGCCAGGUACCCGGGAGCUCUAUCUCAGGUCCUCGGAGCUAGGACUGCCUUUGGGAGGGCUGGUUGCUCAAAGUCCAUCAGAGGAUGGAGUAGGUUGGAAUCAAUGAUCUGUUUCGUGGCUGUUUAAUAUCUUGAGUAAAAGCAGAGGAAAAAAUUCUUGACCAGUUUGAGCUCUGAGAGGUUUAAACAGCAUGGCCUUCCUCUGGCUUCUCCCCCCUCCAGUUACCCGUGCCUUUAUUCAGUAGAUAGUUAUUGAGCAUACACUGUGUACUAGACAUGGUGCUUAGGGCUCAGGAAUGAGGAUAAAAAGACAGUUCUUGCCUUCAAGGGCUUACUGACUAAUGUCUGAGAUAGGCAGGCACCGACAACAAAGUGAGAGCUGAUGGGACACAGAAGUCAAGGGCCUGGGCUCGGAUUCCUGCUCUGCCGCUUACAAGCCGUGUGACUGGGUGAAUCAUGUAACUGCUGCGUGCAUCAGUUUCUUCGUCUGUAGAGUGAGAAUAAUGAUCACCUUAGUGUUUUAUGAGGAUUAGAUUAGUUAGCAGAUUCACAGUGCUUUGAACUGUGCCAGGAAUAGUGAGGAUGGUACACAUUUGAGAUAUUUUAGAAGCUGUAGCGUCCACAGGACUAGUUGGGUGAAGGACUUAAGAGGAAGGAAGGGGUCGUGUAUAAACCCCAGGAUUUUGUCCUCUGGACAUGGCAGCCGGGAAAGCUAUAUUUGAGUGUAGGGUCCACUGCAAUAUAUGUUUUGAAUCUUGAGUGUUACGGCCUUGGUUUGUUCCUUUGUAAAGUGGAGAUCAUAAUAUCUUCCCUUUCAACCUAAUGGGGAGAAAGGAAGAGAAACCAACACUGGAAUCUACUAUGAACCAGACACAGUUUUAUUCUGACAAUUGAGAGAAAUAACAUAUUUAAAAUGUGUUUAUAUUCAAAAAAUACAUUGCAAACGGUAAAGUACAACACACAGGGUAAUCGUGAUUUUUCUCUCUACUUUCUCCCACCCCCUGGCCAAUAGCACGGAAAGCUGAGAGACGGUGGAGAAGGCUGACUUUCAUCAUAGCAGGUCUGACUUUAAUAACAGCAGGUACUGCUGUGCUACUGUUUUGCCUCCACGUGACUCACCGUAUCUCUCUGCUAUUUAGUUCCUGAUCACUAAAGCCUUGUGACCCCUUAGGAGGCUGGUGAUUUUCUCACAAGGAGGACCUCAGAGCACCAAGAAGCAUAGUGAGCUCCUUAGAGGGAACGUUUCACUGACGGUGUGAUCUGAUGGGUUGAGCAUGAACAUUCUGCAGCGCAGACCGGGUUCCUCCAGGCCUUGGAGGGGCUGAGCUUCCAGCUCCUGGGAGCCUGUCAGUGUCUCAGGGCUUCUGGGAGCAGGCCCUGCACAGAGCACGAGCCCGUCGAUGGAGGUGAGUGAGGAGGGUUCGCAUCCUUUGACUGAGGGGAGAGGCCAGACUCGGGGGUAGCAGUGCAGGGAGAGCGUCAGCCUUGCUGUUUGCUCACUAUCAAGAGCUGCCUUCACAUGUCCCAGAGAGACUUUUUGGCAAGGUUUCAGAGCUCGCCACCAAGAUUGCAGGCCAGCCGGCCUGGCAACAGUGUGGGGGAGGAGGAUGUCUGCAGCUGAGCGAGCUGCACUCGGCCUGUUUGGGAGCCUGGCCAACACUAACGGGAUUGCCAUCCGCUGCCCCGCUAUCUGCCAGGAAGUUGUGAAAUGAAAUUUCAAGGACCCUACCGCAGAGAGCCAGAGAGAGCGUGGGAUGACUUGGCUGGAGCAGGAAUCCUUGGGGAGAUCGGUUCACUUCCCUGGCACUCCAUUAGUCUCUUUGCAGAACAGAAGCUCUGCCACCGAGGCCAGCACUGGGCAGCUGUGGGCUCCACGAGCCGGUCUGUUCUCUGCACUGCAGCCCACGGCCUUGGAUGAGGGCAAGAGAGAGGGUGCCCUGGCUGGAGGGUGGCGCGGGGGUGCAUUGAUGUGAAAGAGUGCCAGGGCUGAACCCCAGGAACCAGUAAGUGAGUCCCUGGCUCCUUCUCUGCCUCUCCCAGGCUUCUGAAACCUAGACUGUAGGGUCAAGAUAAAAACUGCCUAGGAACCUUUAUCCAACCCUCUAGAGGGUGGAGAGAAACAAACCAUGAGCUUGGCGUCCGCGUUCCUGGUUGGAGGCCCUGCCUGUUCACUUAAUCAAUCUGAGCCUCACUAUAAUCUGCUUAUCUUGCAAGGUUCUUGUGAGGAUCAAUUGAAACAAGGCGUGGGAAAGUUCUUUGCAAACUGUAAAGUGCUUUAAAGGAAGGAGUUGCUCCAGGCACGGAAUCAAAGGCCCAGAGGGUAAGAGGAGCUGAGUGGAGCCUUUUGGGCCCGACUCUCUGGCUACGCCAGGCUGGCUCUUCUCCUGAAGACACAGAGAGGGACCUUCCACAUGGACCUUCUUCCUGGCUUCCUCUAAUGCGAGCGUCCCCGCUCUCAUUGGUGGUCUGGGGUCCUAGUGAGAGGGAGUUCUCCAAGGUCACAGAGCUGACUGGUUUCCUUGUUGGGACAGGUUUACCUGUGACCCCAGAGCCAUUGGUCUUGGAGACAGCACGGAGGGUCCCCAGUCCAGGGACCACCGGGGACCCUGUUUUCAGCAGGAUUUUUGUUUAUAACAUGACAGUGUCUUUACCUUUUAUCUAGCAAGAGUGAGUAAUCUAUUUGGGAUAUUUAACAAAAACCAGACAUUACCUCACUCGUGUCUUAUCCGGAGCUGCUCCAGUCUUCCCAUUAAUUCCAGUGACUCGGGGUCUUUCACCAUGUUAAGCAGUAUAGGGAGAAAUCCACAGACUCGUUUUCCCUGAGUAGAGGGAUUCAUAGAACACACAAAUUUGAGAAGCCCUAUCUUGUAUUUGUCUUCAAGCCUUCUCUUUUCCCCAGUAAACAUCUGUUUUCCUCAUUCUGAGAACACGGCAGAGGAAUUAACCCCAGCCCAUCCCCCAAACCAUCCUGACUCUAAUCGAGUGUCUCUGGCUCCCCUCUUCCCUAAGGGACAUGAGGAGUUUGCUGUGUGAACUCGCCCUGGCCUCCCAGGGAAGCAGCAGGCAGACCAUCCUCUCUGAGGUUGAUGGCUACUUUCUAACAGAAGAGUCAGAGAGAUAGUGACUCAAGUGGGCACAGGCUUUGUCAGCAGCUGCCAGAGGUACAGACUGAAGCGAGCAUCUCAUGUCUUCCCCAGGUGGAGACAGGACUGUCCACUUCCUCAAGGACCUGUUGAUGGGUCAGAAAUGGAAUCACCCUUGGGUGGUCCUCACAGAGGAAGGACAGCUAUCGUGAUCCAGGCCAGGCAAUAGUACAGCUACGUUUUGCAGUAGAAAAAUGGAGACCCAAUUAAAAACUUCCAUGUAUCCAAAAUCACCAUACAUUAGGUGAUAUGAAGGAAUAAUUGUUAAUUUUGAUAGGUGUUAUCAUGGCAUGAUGACUACAUAAGAAAAUGUCCAUAGUUGUAUAGAUGCUUACUGAAGUAUGCAGGAGUAGAAUGACAUAGAGUCUGAGAUUUGCUUUAAAAUCCAUUAUUAGAAAUAUAAGAAAGAAAAGACAGAGAUAAAGCAAGUAAGACAAAACCUUGUUAAUAGUUGAGUCUGGGCAAUGGAUAAUGUGGUUUCACUAUACUGUUCUCAACUUUUGUGGUUGGUUGAAUAUUUUUAUAAUAAAAAAAAUUAAAGACACUAUGAAUAGCGUCAAAAGACAAGCCAUAGACUGGGAGAAGAUAUUUAGAACACGUGCAACUAACAAAGGAUUCCUAUCUAAAAUAAUAUAAAGACCUCCUAUAAAUCACUUUACAAAAAAUCAACUCCAGAGGAAAAAAAAGGGCAUAGAUUAGAACAAGCAAUUCCAUUCCCCGAAAGAGAAACUUGAAUGGCCAAUGUCUACACUCACUGGGGAUCAGGAAAAUGCAAAUUAGAAAACAAGAUACCAAUUUAUAUCCGUAAGAUUAGCAAAAAUUGGAAAGUCUGGCGAUAUCAAGUACUGGUGGAGAUGUAGAGUUUAAAAUAUAUACUUAGAAAGCAAUUUGACAAUAUCUGUUAGAAACAUGUCUAUCCUACCACCGGGAUUCCACGUCUGAAUAUAUACCCCUCAGAAACUCUUGGGCAAAUGCACAACGUGUGCUUGGAACACAUACCUGGAUGUCCAUUGCAGCGUUGUUUCUGAUAGCUAAAACUGGAGAAAUAAUCCAUGACAUAUUCCUAUAGUGGCCUACUACAUAGAAGUUAAAAUGAAUUUAUUUCAUAUAUAUACAUAUGUAAUUAAGAAUGAAUUUCCAAAACAAUAUAAAUAUUGAAUGAAAUAAAUUGAAAAAUAAAAUUGCAAAAGGCUAUGUAUGUUAUUAUGCCACGUAGAUAAACAAUUUAACACACCUAAUGUAGUACUUUUGACUCUUUCUAUCUAUGUCAUAAGAAUACAGAAAUAAUUAGGCCACAAAGCAAUAGGAGAAUAGUGCUUAUCUCCAGGAAGGAGAGAAGGGAAUGGGGAUGACCUCAGCUGUACCUGUAAUGUUUGUUUUUUCUUUAGGAAAAAAUGUAAAAAUAGAGUCUGAAGCAAAUAGAUCGAAAGAGUGACAUUUGAAUAUCUGGGUGGUAGGUACAGGGUGUUUAUUAUAUUGUCUCUGUAUUACUCUGUGUAUUUCAAAUAUUUUGUAAUUUAAAAAACAGUUUCUUGAGUGGGGCCCUAAAGUUCCUCCUCUCGAAAUCUCAUCUUUUCCCAGGACUCCAGAAUCCCUCGACUGAACCUUCCCCUCUAUGGAAACGAUUCCCAAAUCUGACGCUCUAUCCUUUCUCUCGGGCUUUGUUUCUGGGUCUCCACCCACUUAUGGCUAAUUCUUCUACCUCAACUUCAUCCCUCAAGUCGGUGGUCUCUACUACUGCUGUCUCCAACAGCUCUUUCUUUUCAUUUCCUGUUUCUGUCAGUAGUGCACUCAGUAAAUGUUAGUUUUUAUUUUCAUUAGUCUUUUCAACUUUUACCUCUUCCCACUGAGUUCACCAUACACAGAACUGCCAACUUAUCUUCUUGGAAUUCAGUUGGGGACUUUUUUUUCUGAAAAGCUGUUUUUCUUCCCCCUUGAAAUGUUGUUUUACAUCAAUUUUUCCCAAGCUCAAAAACCUUAUGGUGGCCCACUGCCAGCCUAAGAAGAUCCAAAAUCCGGAACAAUUGGUGUACCACCUCGAAGUCUGCCGCCUACGUCUCUCUCCAGCUUUGUCACCCUCCGUGUGCUCGCACUAAAGAGGCGGCCCCGCCACCCGGUCAUGCUGCGGGUUUUCAUGUCUUCCUGCAAGUUCAGUUCUGAGAUGCUGUUACCUUCAAGCUCAGGUCCAAUGCCCUCCCCAUAAAGUCUUCAUCCAGCUCUACUUCCGGAACCAAUCCCGCGGCACAGCCCACAGGUGUAGGCAACGCUCUUUUUGAACAAAACAGAUCUAGAAGGCACCUCCCUUCUGCCUCCCCAGCUCCCUUUCCGUUAAUACUGAGCUCAAUUGUUUGGCAGACCCGGGAAGCAGAGGUGGGAUGACUAGACACAUUCAUCCAUAUGGUUCCUCAUCCAUAUAAACAGUGCAUCUAUCUUUCUCUCUUCCUUUCCUUUCUCCUGGUUUUUCUCCUAUGACAUCAGCUACAGAGCAGGCUGGCCUCACAUCAGCCUUGCAGAGAGGGUCAGGUGCUGUCCUCCAACUUAUGGCAAGAACCUGAGGAAAAUAAGAUUCCUCUAAGUGCAAUAUUGUAUCAAUUCCAAGAUGCACAUUUUUUUCUCAUUUUGAUAUCUCUGAAAUUAGGGUGCGUUGUACAAUCAAUGAAGUUUUUUCUUUCUUGGUGAUACACAAAAAUAAAAAUGUGUUUUAUAUUGAUGGUAUCUAUAACUGGCUGAAAUGAGGAAUAUGGGAAGGUAUUUGGAAUGCAUCUAAAAUGCAAAUAAACAGCUUUUACUAUUUGAUAUGAAUAUUAACUAUCAGUGUUAAAAAUGAGAUUUUGGAACACUCUCGUAGGCAUACCUAUCUUUGAGAAAAUGUUUCCAGAACAGCAUUCCGGCACAUUCCCUCUCCAAAGCUGCACUGGGAACAUGUCUUAUCUAUUCUGCCAUAUUUUGUAAACUAUUAAAGGGCAGAGACCCAGAGGAAGAUAUAUCUUGGUAUGCUCUAUAAAGAGCAAUAAAGGGGGCCAG